CUUUGGGCAUUCACUAGGAAAGUAUUCUCCUGCAUAGGCUUUUUCUAGCCAAGACUUAGUUUCAUAUUGAAGCCAGAGGAAUUUUUUUUCCUUGGGGGUAGUCAAAUACAAAAAAGGGUCUGUGAAUAGAGAAAACAGGAGCUGAGUUAAACCAGUUAACACUUCUAGUGGUGUGGUAUUGUCUGUUUGGAGAGUUCUUACUUUAUCUGGAGAACUUGAUUUAAAGGGAGUAAAGAAUCCUGUUAAUAAUGCAAUGUUUCUGUAAAUUUAAAGUAAUCUGUUAUUGACUAGACAGUCAGGAAACAUUGUUUCUAAUAUAGUGUUGCAUAAAGUGGUUUUAGAUAAGGAGAGCAUGAAAAUAUGGCUACUGAGAAAUAGCUACUGGCUCUCUGGGGCAUGAACCAUCCUUUUGUUGUGUGUUUGUACAGUGCAUCACACAAUAGUGUUCUGGUCCUUGACUGAGAUGCCUAGGUGCAACAGCAUUACAAAUAAUAAUAAUAAAGCAGUGGGGGUGGGUAGAAGGAACCAUGCUGAAACCCUACAUGUCCAGCCAGAUAUCCCUGCCCUCCAGAGAUCUAGUCAUGUGGGGAGACAGUCAUAUGUAUUUGCUCUUGAUGACACUCUCCUGUUCCUGCUAGCUGAAAUGUCAGUGUCACUCACAAGGAAGUCUGCAAGCAGUCAGCAAAGCAAUGAUGGUGACAAGUGGGACUAUGUCAGAACUCUAUAUAUCCCCCAGCUCCAAUUCAGGGUUUAGGUUUGAUGCAUAUUUUCCAUAAAGAAAUGCAAACAAGAAAAGGACCCAUACACAAAGAUGAGGUGCGCGCACUCAGAAUGAGUGUAGGUUGACAGUCCGUUGCCUUUAUAAACAUAUGAUAUACCCAGAGGCAAAUCCAAUGCUGCCAACACAACUACUAAAUGAGUCUGCCAAAUAGCCAGAUGCUGCAGCUGGAAAAGCAUUUUCAUUGUCAUAGCAGCUGCAUACUGUGAUUGCCAUCCCAAAAGGAGGAGGAAGAGUUGGGGUAUGGUUAUCGAGUUAAAUGAUACACACCCACACAGAAAAGUAUGAUUGGGUAUGUGUCUAUAGGUACAUGUAUAUCUGAGUGAUGGUCUUUUCAAUAGCGACGCAAAAAAUAUAUAUGUUGAUUACUAAUAACUCAUUAAAGGAAAUAUAAACAAAGUCAGGAGAAAAGAGAUUUUUAAAAAAUGGUUAAGAUGAAAAAUUUUAGUUUUGUAUUUUUACCCUUUAUUGGCUAACACAAGUGGUGACCUAAACACCAAGUUUUGAAGUGAGCACUAAUAUCCCAUUGAAACUAUCUGGGAUAUAAUGAGUGUGCACACAAAGGUUAUAUAUAAACUACUUGGUGUUACCAGUGAAAAGAAUAAGACUUGGAUCAAGUGCUUUUAAAUCAAGUUAUUAUGGGCUACCACUUUUACAGGUGAAGGCUAACCACAAUCCUGUAAUCUACUCACAUGGGACAACUCAUGAGAGUAAAGAUUGCAGGACGGCUUGGGGACAGCUCACAUGAAUAAGGGUUGCAGGAUCUCUCCCAUAGCUAGCAUGGGUAAUAUAGCAAACUUCAGAAAAUAACUCUCUCAUUUUCAUGAAAAACUGGGUCAGUGUUAGGUAUCCCUUACACCAUUGAUUAGCAGCCUGUGGUCUCUGUUGGUGAAGAGCUCAAUCCAACUAAUUGUGAUGGGUUGUGCAGCUCCUUCUAGUCCUGUGUAUUACAGUUUUGAAUUUAUAGUCACUUGCAGAGACAUGUGUUAGCUAUAGUUUGUAUUGUGAGACUGCUUAAUGCACACUUAAGAAACAUAUUGAAGUUCAACUGGACUUCCCAUUCUUAACUGAUGUUACUUCAGAUUUGUAAUCUUAACUAAUGAAAAAGCCUUUAUAUAAAAUGUAAGAUUUGGAAAGUGCAUGGUAAAAAAUAUCCUAUAUCUAGGGUUGCCAACUUUCUAAUAAUACAAAACUGAACACCCUUGCCUUGCCCAUGGCGCUCUCUCUUCCCCCCCCCCAUCACUUGC